CAUUAAUGAAGCAUCAGCUCCUCCAAGUUAGUCUCCUACCAAUGUUACCCACUCGGAAAGACCCUUCCUGCCUUGGCGAUGCUCAGGGUGCGGAGAGGCUGUGGGGAGCCGGGACGCAACGGGAGGACCCUGAAACAGGUUUCAGGCUUACAUCAUCAAAGCCUUUAGAGAAACAGUCACCUUCACAGCUGUGCAUUCCUAGCCAAUGACUGCAUACUCUGGGAAGGACAAGGUUAAAGAAAGAGACUGUCACCUUCACUGCAUGCCGCACAGGCGCAUCACUUUCCUGCUUUGGACUGUGGACAGUAUUUGCAAUAGCCAUGUGAAAAAGCCUAUUAGGUCCAAGUGGAGCUACAACGGUGGACAGGUGACUUGUGUUGGCCAAUGGGAGCCUCCUGAGCUCAGUGAUUGGUUCAAAGUGGACAUGUGAUGGCAUUCCUAUCCUGGUGCAGCGGAAACCAAUCUGACUAAGAACCAUGAGGUUGAGGGUUUGAUCCAUGGCCUUCUCAGUGGAUUAAGGAUGUGGUGUUGCUGUGAGCU